rnacentral:rRNA from 1 species
AGAGUUUGAUCAUGGCUCAGAACGAACGCUGGCGGCAUGCCUAACACAUGCAAGUCGAACGAGACCUUCGGGUCUAGUGGCGCACGGGUGAGUAACGCGUGGGAAUCUGCCCUUGGGUUCGGAAUAACAGUUAGAAAUGACUGCUGAUACCGGAUGAUGACUUCGGUCCAAAGAUUUAUCGCCCAGGGAUGAGCCCGCGUCGGAUUAGCUAGUUGGUGAGGUAAAGGCUCACCAAGGCGACGAUCCGUAGCUGGUCUGAGAGGAUGAUCAGCCACACUGGGACUGAGACACGGCCCAGACUCCUACGGGAGGCAGCAGUGGGGAAUAUUGGACAAUGGGGGCAACCCUGAUCCAGCAAUGCCGCGUGAGUGAUGAAGGCCUUAGGGUUGUAAAGCUCUUUUACCCGGGAUGAUAAUGACAGUACCGGGAGAAUAAGCCCCGGCUAACUCCGUGCCAGCCGCCGCGGUAAUUC